GGAUGGCAUGCCAAACGUUCUCCGUUAGCUGACUCCAGAAAGGGUGGCACUUCGUGCGCGCGGUGGGUUUCUGAGA
rnacentral:snoRNA from 1 species